rnacentral:rRNA from 1 species
CAAUAGCGUAUAUUAAAGUUGUUGCAGUUAAAAAGCUCGUAGUUGAAUUUUUGCUUGCCGCCGAUGUCGGAACUUCCGUACGUUCGGCGGCGUGCAUCCUUGGGUGGAACCUGUGUGGCAUUAGGUUGUCGUGCAGGGGAUGCUCAUCGUUUACUGUGAAAAAAUUAGAGUGUUCAAAGCAGGCUUACGCCGUUGAAUAUAUUAGCAUGGAAUAAUAAGAUAGGACCUUGGUACUAUUUUGUUGGUUUGCGCACCGAGGUAAUGAUUAACAGGGACAGUUGGGGGUAUUCGUAUUCCAUUGUCAGAGGUGAAAUUCUUGGAUUUCUGGAAGACGAACUACCGCGAAAGCAUUUACCAAGGAUGUUUUCAUUAA